rnacentral:rRNA from 2 species
UAACACUAACUGGAGGACCGAACCGACUAAUGUUGAAAAAUUAGCGGAUGACCUGUGGCUGGGGGUGAAAGGCCAAUCAAACCGGGAGAUAGCUGGUUCUCCCCGAAAGCUAUUUAGGUAGCGCCUCGUGAAUUCAUCUCCGGGGGUAGAGCACUGUUUCGGCUAGGGGGCCAUCCCGGCUUACCAACCCGAUGCAAACUGCGAAUACCGGAGAAUGUUAUCACGGGAGACACACGGCGGGUGCUAACGUCCGUCGUGAAGAGGGAAACAACCCAGACCGCCAGCUAAGGUCCCAAAGUCAUGGUUAAGUGGGAAACGAUGUGGGAAGGCCCAGACAGCCAGGAUGUUGGCUUAGAAGCAGCCAUCAUUUAAAGAAAGCGUAAUAGCUCACUGGUCGAGUCGGCCUGCGCGGAAGAUGUAACGGGGCUAAACCAUGCACCGAAGCUGCGGCAGCGACACUGUGUGUUGUUGGGUAGGGGAGCGUUCUGUAAGCCUGUGAAGGUGUGUCGUGAGGC